GGCUCAGGACGAACGCUGGCGGCGCGCCUAAUACAUGCAAGUCGAGCGAGAAGGUGUAGCAAUACACUUGUAAAGCGGCGGACGGGUGAGGAAUGCAUGGGUAACCUACCCUCGAGUGGGGAAUAACUAGCCGAAAGGUUAGCUAAUACCGCAUACGUUUCCGGGACUUCGGUUCCGGAAAGAAAGCAAUACCGUGGGUAUUGCGCUCAUGGAUGGGCUCAUGUCCUAUCAGCUUGUUGGUGAGGUAACGGCUCACCAAGGCUUCGACGGGUAGCUGGUCUGAGAGGACGAUCAGCCACACUGGCACUGCGACACGGGCCGGACUCCUACGGGAGGCAGCAGUAAGGAAUACUGCGCAAUGGACGAAAGUCUGACGCAGCGACGCCGCGUGGGGGAUGAAGGUCUUCGGAUUGUAAACCCCUUUCGGCAGGGAAGAUGGAACGGGUAACCGUUCGGACGGUACCUGCAGAAGCAGCCACGGCUAACUUCGUGCCAGCAGCCGCGGUAAUACGAAGGUGGCAAGCGUUAUUCGGAUUUACUGGGCGUACAGGGAGCGUAGGCGGUUUGGUAAGCCCUCUGUGAAAUCUCCAGGCUUAACCUGGAAAAGUCGGAGGGGACUGCUGAGCUAGAGGACGGGAGAGGAGCGCGGAAUUCCCGGUGUAGCGGUGAAAUGCGUAGAGA
rnacentral:rRNA from 1 species